rnacentral:rRNA from 1 species
UACGUAGGGUGCGAGCGUUAAUCGGAAUUACUGGGCGUAAAGUGUGCGCAGGCGGCCGCGCAAGUCGAGUGUGAAAUCUCCUGGCUCAACUGGGAGCUUGCAGGCGAAACUGCCGUGCUGGAGUGUGGGAGAGGUGCGUGGAAUUCCCGGUGUAGCGGUGAAAUGCGUAGAUAUCAGGAGGAACACCUGUGGCGAAAGCGGCGCACUGGACCACAACUGACGCUGAGGCGCGAAAGCUAGGGGAGCAAACAGG